UACAGAGGUCUCAAGCGUUGUUCGGAUUCAUUGGGCGUAAAGGGUGCGUAGGCGGCGCGGUAAGUCGGGUGUGAAAUCUUGGAGCUUAACUCCGAAACUGCAUUCGAUACUGCCGUGCUUGAGGACUGGAGAGGAGACUGGAAUUUACGGUGUAGCGGUGAAAUGCGUAGAUAUCGUAAGGAAGACCAGUGGCGAAGGCGGGUCGUCUGGACAGUUCCU
rnacentral:rRNA from 1 species